rnacentral:misc_RNA from 1 species
UUACGUGUCCAACUUUCCCUCUGUCUAAAAAAAAUCAAACCCUGGGUUUACGUGUCCAACUUUGACUAUCCGUCUUAUAUGAAAUUUUUUUAUAAUUCGUAUUUUUAUUAUUGUUAGAUGAUAAAACAUGAUUAAUAUUUUAUGCGUGACUUGUCUUUUUAAUUUUUUUUAUAAUUUUUUUAAAUAAGACGGACGGUCAAACGUUGGACAUGGAAACCAGGGUUUGUCUUUUUUUUUUUACGGAGAGAGUAUGUUCGAUG